CCUCACCUUGAUGUGGAAGCGGAUGAGAGCCAGGCGGAUGCAGUGCGCCAUGCAGACGGGCGGCAGGAACCAGACCUUGGGCGGCGGGGUGCCCUUGUUCUGGACGUGACUGACGAUCUGCUGCGCCGUCUGGCGCUCGUUGCCCUGGCGCUUCACCCACUCGUGCAGCCGGGCCUUCUCCAGGGCGCCGUUGAAGAAGACGAAGAGCUCGAUGUUGCCGUUGAAGCAGGCCUUGGCCAGCGCCGCCAGGUAGCCCAGCAUGUGGUUCCACUGCCCGCCGCUCACCCAGUCCGUGUAGAAGCCGCCGUAGAGCCGGUGCAGGCAGUUGUCGGCGUCGAUGAGGAGGCGCAGCGGGGUCUGGGGGGGCCGCUGGCGGCCCCCACCCACGAGGCUGCCCCGCGCCAGCUUCUGCAGCUCGACGGGCACGACGGCGCUGGGGCAGUGCUUCUCGAUGUAGUCCUGGAAACCCUGCACUCCCAUGCAAAUGCUCCCCUGGGUUGCCAGUGCAUUCUGACUGAUCUCCCAGUGUGCACAGAUUAGCAGACCUGAGCUGAGGCCAGCUAUGUGCCGUCUUUGAGAGAGAAAUCAACCAUCAAACCCCACAGCCCUGCAUGGCUGAGUUGUGGAACAGAAAACUGCUGCAAAACCACUGUGUAAGAGGGAGAAUGACAGAACCAGCCCAUUUCAGUGUGCUUCACACAGAUGAAAAAUGUCUUCUGAUUAA